UCACAAAGCAGGCGACUGGCCCUUUAAGGGGUUAUGUAGCCGGGCUAGCCGAUGUAGGACGAGCCGACCGUGCGUCUGCCUGCCUGCCUGCGCUCCGGCUGCCAUCCUCAUCAUGGCCUCCACACAGCCGCCACCGACGCCACCGAGGAUGAAGCGACCAGUCAGCGGCCCUUCCCUUCCCGCAGCGGAGACGGACGUCAAGCCGAAACAGAGGCACCGGUAGAGGCGAGCCGCGCCGGGGAGAGCCGCCACACAUCCCCAUGCCACCCCGGUCUCCUCCAUGCCUUCGUCUAAAGCCAAGUACAGCUAUUCGAUAAAGAGGGGUGCGAACCCGGGCGGCGGCGGCGGCGGCGGCAGCGGCAGCGGCAGAGGCGGCAGAAACAUGACAACGAACAGGGAUUAUUCUGUAAAUCUGUCGGUGCAGCAAGUGCUGAGCCUUUGGGUGCAAGGCACGACGCUGCAGCACUUCACAGAGAUGUGGUACUGGGUGUUCCUGUGGUGUCUCUUCUCCUCGCUCUUCGUCCACGGCGCGGUCGGGCUGCUCAUGUUGGUCAUGCUGCAGCGCCACAAGCGGGGCCGCCUCAUCACCCUGGUGCUGGUCAGCGUCGGUUUCCUGGCCUCGCUCUCAGGAGGGGUCAUCACCAGCGCGGCGGUGGCGGGGGUUUACCGCGUGGCGGGGAAGGACAUGGCACCGCUGGAGGCGUUGGUGUUCGGCGUGGGCCAGACCACCCUGUCCAUCAUCAUCUCCUUCUCAAGAAUCCUCGCCACCCUGUGAGGAAAAACCUGCCGAUGAGCCGAGGACGAAUGCUGAGACGAGAGCGAGAGAGAGAGAGAGAGAGAGAGAAACGAGCCAAUCAGAGACUUUUGGAUGCUCAAAAGCGGCCGAGUUUGUAGACGACGACGACGACGAAGAAGAAGAAGAAGAAGAAGAGGAGGAGGAGGAGGCGAAAAUCGCUCUCUGGACCUUUUUUUUGAGCGGCUGGAAGCAGGAGAGAGAAAAGAGAGAGAGAGCGCCACCCUGUGUUUGUGCUCUGUUACUGCCACACUGCAUUGUAGAGGAAAAUCAGUGCAGGCAGGUUGUCCUCACGCAGGAGAGCAGGAAGUGGGCGGAGCCGGCGCCAUACUCAGCUUCUGAACUUGAAAGCCAUGUUUGGGGUGUUUCCAGAGCUCCAUCACUUCUUUGUGCCAACAGCCUUCUCUGGACAUCCAGACGCCUUUGUGGCCACUGACUCUAGAAGGCUUCCUGUUGCACUUGUUGUUGGGGGGGGGGAGAACAGCAGAUACGAGUUGUCAUGGUGAUCUGACCAUCAGAAGAACAUGGCGUUUGAGGAGCGUUCAAACAGUGUUCAUCAGCAAAAAUAAAAAACACAAUUUUCCUCCUCAGUGUCACACGUCAGCCUCACCUCCUUCUCCUCCACAACGUUCACGAUCACAACCAUCACCCCCCCCCCCCUAAAGAAUUCAAAAAAGUCGCACCAUCCGGAUUCUGAGCCCGACGCGGCUCUGAAUUCUUGCACUUUGUAAAAGUUGGAGAAGCUCUUUGCCUAAGAGGUGGGAAAUCAUGGAGGAGAAAAAAACCAGCAUCCAGCGACCACGUUUGGUUUGAAAACAUUGAUUCAUCGAGUGCCAACGAGAGCUCCCAUCGGAGCCGAAGGAGCAUGUGACACGUUGGGACGCGAGGCUGUUUGUUUUUCGUUUUGGCGUCGAGAGUCCGCUGAGAAGACGCCUCUCAUGUCUGUGAAAUAAAUAUGAACCAGCGAGACAGUUAGCUUAGCAUCGUCGACAUACCAGCGGAACCUAAGGCUCACCUUUAACACGUUUGUUUGUUUGCUCCCAAAAACAGCUUUUUCAGUUUUACACAGUUUGUUGCGACUGACCGUCUUCGUGCCCGAUUGGUCCAAAACAAAAAACGCGGAAAAGUUGCGAAUCUUCAUUUUCACGCUUCAUUCUGAACAUCAGAGAAAUCGGGUGUUAAAGAACGAGUUGUGUGUCGGAGGAUUUUGUUACCUUUUAACAGAGGGGUCACUGUUUUCCCCAUUUCCAGUCUUUGUGCUAAGCUAAGCUAACUUUUCCUGAUUCAUCUUUUUCACAUGAGAGAGCCCUCCCUUCUUCUCGUCUAACUCUCUACAACAAAGCAAAGCGAGCACGUUCCCAAUUCGGCGGAGUAUUUACUGAUAGCAGACGGAGUAGGACCUGGUUCGAGCCCUCAGGGGAGCGGACUCGUUCAGGUUUGAUUCCGCUCUGGUUUGCAUGAGAUCAGGAUCAGGGUCCUCUUAUUCAGGGUUUUAAGAGAGAUGUAUUGGUAUUUAAAAAGGGUAACAAUGUUGGGAUCCGGCCUUCCUUUGCCCGAUGUACGACGAACAUUGUCUGCACUGACGUAGAGUAAAGUCCCCCCAUGGAGAGCCACCCAGACGGACUGAUUCUGCUGCUCUAACGGCCAUUCUUCUAUGGCUCCCUCUUCUUUUUUUUUUUGUUUCUUUUUUUAUUUAAUUUAUCAACCCAUGUUCCUUAAGUUUUAACUUUGCAUAUUGCACUGAGAUUAAUCUGCCUUGUUUUUAGCGAUGUGUGCGAUCACACUUCUCUGCUGUGACCCGGUCCGGUACACAUAAACAGAACCUGUUGGAGAUCAAGUGUGGAAGAAUGUGCUUGAAGCUACCGCAAUGAACUCAGAACAGCGACUUCACAGGACGACGCACUGGAGUGUUUUUUUUUUUUAAUCGAAGUUCAAUGCUCAUUACUUGGCUCAUAAGUUCUCCAGAUUCACCUCUCUCUCUUUUGUGCACAGCUCGAACACAGGGUGAGAAGAGUCCGGUUAUAAUACCAAAGUAAUGCUCAACUUCUAGCUUUAUUUAAUUCUCUUUGUCUCAUUUUUACUGUUACCACAGCCUCGGAUUCUUAUUAGUUUGAUUUAGAAGCGUUUGCACAUCGGUCCCCCCCCCCCCCCCAGACUUCUUGAAACAGCACUGGACACGACUUUGAUGACAAUGAAGUAGAUGUUUGUGUGGUUUUGUAGCUGUAAAGGUGCUGCGUGUGUCAUGAGGGUUAUGUAAUCGACACGUCUCACCUUCAGUACCAGCUCAGAACACAAGAGGGCGAUAUUGCACAGAGAAGAAGAGAGACUGUUUGGGAGAUGAUUGUGGAUGGUGAAACAGAGUGCGUGCAGACUGUUUUGAUACAGAAAUUUAACAUGAUAAAAAUGUUUUCUAGACGAAAUUAAAGCCCCUAAUUUAAAGUGUAAAAAAUAAGCAGAAAUAAUCAACCUGUUAACCCUUUUUUUUUUUUUUUUUUAAAUCCACUGACCGCUCGGCACAUCGUCCACUCUGCCCGUUUGAAUGUUUUAGCUCAAUUUCAGGGACCAAAUGUGAGCUGCUGCUGAUGACUCACCUGCUGUCCAAGCAAUGAAAUCUCUGUGAAGCUGUUUGUGGGGCAGUUUCUGCAUGUUCGUACAUGUGUGUGUGUGUGUGUGAGCAUGUGUGUGAGCAUGUGUGUGUGAGCAUGUGUGUGUGUGCUUCUUAGGAGACGUGAUGUGUGUGUGUUGUUUCUGCUGUAACCAUGUGUAGUUAGUAUAACAGGAGAUUAAUUUAUUUUCUAUCAUUAAAAAAGGGAGGAGGGGGGUUGUUAACAUUCUUUAACCCCCCCCUCCCCCCCUCUGAAGUGUCAGAGAGGUUGAGGACCUAAUUGAAAGCAGUCCACUGAGCAAUGUCUUACAUAAUGUGAUGGAAACGUUUUAAUUUGAGGCGUUAGAAAUGACUUUUCCUGCCAACGAGAGACUUCAAGAACAGGACUGAAGACGUACGCUGAGUGUCCUUACUGCACAUCCCGAGCUGUAUAUAGACGUAGUGUACAAAAUAAAACUCGACCAGAAGAAGAAGAAGAAGAAGAAGAAGAAGACGAAGAGUGAGAAUCACAGCUGAUACAAACAAACAACCAACCAGAGAGUGUGUUUUGGUUUUCACACAGUCGGAGUCUUCACACCCAGUGCCAUGAUGAUCGCUCAUGAUGAAUAUUGUUUUUCCCGCUCCGUGAUUCAGCAGCCGUCUAAGUCGCUGAUGACUGUGUGUGUGUGUGUGUGUGUGUGUGUGUGUGUGUGUGUGUGUGAGACACCCAGCAACUAAUAAUCCCUUCUAGACUUUAGAAACACCAUCACACUGCAGCUCAAUAAUCUCGUCUCUUUCAAACACUCAUAACCUGAAGCUGCCCCCCUCUGUCCUCUGACGUCCACAUGCCACACAUCCCCCCCCCCUGUCCCCUGUCCCCUGUCCCCCCCCCCUCCUCUGAAUACUUGCUGUGUACCUGCGUGAGCGCUGCAGCUCAGAUAACGUGUGAAUGGACAAUACGGACAAUCCAACAAGACAAUGUUGUACAAUAACCCAAAGUGGCACUUUGUACAUAAUGUACCAUAUGUUCUUUUUUAAUUUUGUACCAGCCGAGCCGCUGAUAUUUAUAACUAUUGCCUAUUUAUGUACAAAACGUUCUCCUGUACAUACUCAACAGUCGGUUGAAAUAAAAAAAUCUUUUGCAGUUAAAAGCCCAGGAGCGAUGUUUU